GAUCUGUAUUGAAAAGUACAAUUUCAAAUACACAUAACACAAAUUUGAGUUGUGUCUUGGGACUUGAAUUAUGUGAAAAACUGAAAAUCAAUACUAUAAUUGAGAAGUAUUAACUUAAUGAAUGUCAUUAUGUUACAUUAUUAGAAGGCAAUAUAGGCAAAAAGUUAGUAUUUAGAAACAGUCACUCAAAAAUCCCGUGAUCAGAUAUGUUUAAUUUAACAGUAAAGGAACAAAAAUGAGUUGAAAAUCCAGGCUAAGUGGUCCACCAGACUAAAGGAUUACCCAAAGUAGCAAUACCUGUCUAAUUGUCCAAUAACAUCAUGUGCAACAGGAAGAUUAUCACAGAUUUCUUGAAAAAUGUCGCAUUCUUUGUUUCUUCGGCACCGUGCUGCAUCUCUGCUUUUCUCUCUCCUCCUCUGUCUGCAUCCAAGGUAUAAUUACAUCCAUAACUUAUAGAUCCAGGAGUANAAAAUGCUAUUUAUUAAAACUUAACCUAAACACACCUUCUAUAUGUUGAGGGUGGCACCUCUUCGUUUUCGCAUGAAAGCAUUUUGUUGUCUUUGAACUGGCUCAGCAUGAAUAAAUAAUAUAUCAGUGUCAACUUUUAGCCUUAGCUCUGUAAAAACAUUGCAGAUUUUAGUUUUAACUGCAAUAGGGUACCUGAAACACCUGUAUUGCUGUAUAUAAGUGCUAAAAAAAUCCAUGGCAUCUUAUAAGAGUAAUAACCCAUUUAAAACAGUAUUACCUGUUUUGAAACUUCAUUUGUAACUAAUAAUAACAAUAAAACUGUCAAUAGCGUAUUUUACAACUAAGCGCUUCACAACGUUUUGCAAACAACCUAUUCAGCAAACUGUUCUAUCGCGUCUAGAACGGUGAGAGCUUGAGCGGUGAAUUUGUCAUGCGAUGUACCACCUUUUACGUCAGCUGUUCCACGUCAUGUCUUUCUCUUCUUUUUAGCGGUGAAGAAUAAAAAGAAACAGAGGAAACACGCUGUUUCCUCUGCCGCGGGCCCACAGAACAGUCUAGCAUUUGCCAGAAGGCUAUCACUUUGGGAGAAUAUCGCUUGUAUCCUUUUUCUCUUUAAGGCGUGAUAGAGAAACACAGCAAAACACCGUCAACUAUCGGCAGUCGGCAGAUGGCGUGGUUCAGUGGGGAACCCCCAAAGUUGUUGCGACGAACUUAUGCACCCCUGUUUGCUUUACCGUAAAACUAAAGACGUCAUCAAGAAGAAAUGCGUGCGAGAAUAAGUUCAUGUUUAGUCCAAAAGCACCGCUAAUCAAAAUCAUCCGAAACAGGUGGUUUGCGGUUAAAGAGAAGACUAGUUUCG